GAACGCUAGCGGCAGGCUUAACACAUGCAAGUCGAGGGGUAACAGGGUGCUUGCACCGCUGACGACCGGCGCACGGGUGCGUAACGCGUAUGCAAUCUACCUUUUACAGGGGGAUAGCCUUUAGAAAUGAAGAUUAAUAUCCCAUAGUAAGUAACUAUGGCAUCAUGGUAACUUUAAAGUUUCGGCGGUAAAAGAUGAGUAUGCGUUCUAUUAGCUAGAUGGAGUGGUAACGGCACCCCAUGGCGACGAUAGAUAGGGGCCCUGAGAGGGGGAUCCCCCACACUGGUACUGAGACACGGACCAGACUCCUACGGGAGGCAGCAGUGAGGAAUAUUGGACAAUGGGCGAGAGCCUGAUCCAGCCAUGCCGCGUGCAGGAAGACUGCCCUAUGGGUUGUAAACUGCUUUUAAACGGGAAGAAACCCUCGCUCGUGAGCGAGGCUGACGGUACCGUAAGAAUAAGGAUCGGCUAACUCCGUGCCAGCAGCCGCGGUAAUACGGAGGAUCCAAGCGUUAUCCGGAAUCAUUGGGUUUAAAGGGUCCGUAGGUGGAUAAUUAAGUCAGGGGUGAAAGUCCGCAGCUCAACUGUAGAAUUGCCUUUGAUACUGGUUAUCUUGAAUUAUUGUGAAGUGGUUAGAAUAUGUAGUGUAGCGGUGAAAUGCAUAGAUAUUACAUAGAAUACCAAUUGCGAAGGCAGAUCACUAACAAUAUAUUGACACUGAUGG
rnacentral:rRNA from 1 species